rnacentral:rRNA from 1 species
AUUGAACGCUGGCGGCAUGCCUUACACAUGCAAGUCGAACGGUAACGCGGGGGCAACCCUGGCGACGAGUGGCGAACGGGUGAGUAAUAUAUCGGAACGUGCCCUAGAGUGGGGGAUAACGUAGCGAAAGUUACGCUAAUACCGCAUACGAUCUAUGGAUGAAAGUGGGGGAUCGCAAGACCUCAUGCUCCUGGAGCGGCCGAUAUCUGAUUAGCUAGUUGGUAGGGAAAANCCUACCAAGGCGACGAUCAGUAGCUGGUCUGAGAGGACGACCAGCCACACUGGGACUGAGACACGGCCCAGACUCCUACGGGAGCAGCAGUGGGGAAUUUUGGACAAGUGGGGGCAACCCUGAUCCAGCAAUGCCGCGUGUGUGAAGAAGGCC